rnacentral:rRNA from 1 species
CAUUCAUGUUUUUAAGUUUGUGAAAGGGACUUCUGGAGGUAGCGAUCANNCAAUUUAUUGUUUGUGUGUUCCUUUGGUUGUUUCCGAGCAACUUAUAUUUUUUGCGAUAACUUCCUUCUCUUCGUGAGAUUGUAAUUUUUUUGUACUUGCAUAUUCUAUGCUCGAACUUUCUUGUCGUAGGUUGGUGAAGGUUUGACGGACGAGCUUUAGUAAGCAGGGUUUAUCACUGUUGAACUCUCAUGUCUUUACUUCAGGUGACCUUUUAAGUGUGAUUUAUUUUUCGUUUUUCUUUCCAGAUGCUUUGCACGUAGCUUCCCCGUUAAGUCGGGUUGCGGUACGCACACGCCCCAUCUCAGGGGGGGCGGUCACGACCCCCUAAAAGACUUUUGCUUCUCUUGUGUCACAACCUACUAGUAAUAGAGGCUAAAACAGGACAAUUGAGAUUCUCUUCAUAAUUCGGCGAUCUGACCUGCCUGGAGUGUCGAAGGCUGUUGAAAGCGCGCGUUAGAAAACGAUUAAUAUUGAACACUCGAUUUGAUUGGGAUGGCAAUGCGCAAUGCUUGUACAAUUCUAUAUAACACAUCUCACAUCUAGGGAACAAACAAUUUUUGACAUACNACCCNUGGCGGGGGAUGUCUCGGCUUCCACAUCGAUGAAGAACGUAGCAAAAUGCGAUAUGUAUGCGAUUUGCAGANCUCGUGAGUCAUCGAAUUUUUGAACGCAAGUUGCGCUCGCGGGAAAUCCUGCGAGCACGUCUGUUUGAGUGUCCGUACAAAAACUAAAACACUUGUUUUUUAUUUUUCCUUUUGUCGACUUUGUUGCUUGCAAUGAUUUUGACAGUGUUGAGUGUUUCCGUUCACAGUGCAUUUCACAUGUACAGGAUGGUCACUUUAAGUUGAGGGGUACUGUUCUUCGUGAACUUUACCAUUGGCAUGGUUUUUUAAACCUUACUACACCGUUCCCCUGCUACUUUUUAAGUAGUGAGGAGCUGCUCACUUGCAUAUGUCUUCGUUUUUCACUUAGAAUUUUUGUCUAGGUACUGAUGUUUUCUUUCUGCUGAGGUGCGAUUGUUGUGAAGUGAUUACUUAAAGCAACUAUUCAACAACCUCUGAAGGAUUAUAACUUUACUGUUUGAACACAAUUUGGACUUGUGAUUUAAGUUGUUGNNNGUGUNNNNCUUCUCCAGUGCUAUNCUUUAGUGCUGUGGCAAGACGCGUAGCAAAACAGUGC